rnacentral:rRNA from 1 species
GUGAACGCUGGCGGUAGGCCUAACACAUGCAAGUCGAACGGCAGCACAGUAAGAGCUUGCUCUUACGGGUGGCGAGUGGCGGACGGGUGAGGAAUACAUCGGAAUCUACUUUUUCGUGGGGGAUAACGUAGGGAAACUUACGCUGAUACCGCAUACGACCUACGGGUGAAAGCAGGGGAUCUUCGGACCUUGCGCGAUUGAAUGAGCCGAUGUCGGAUUAGCUAGUUGGCGGGGUAAAGGCCCACCAAGGCGACGAUCCGUAGCUGGUCUGAGAGGAUGAUCAGCCACACUGGAACUGAGACACGGUCCAGACUCCUACGGGAGGCAGCAGUGGGGAAUAUUGGACAAUGGGCGCAAGCCUGAUCCAGCCAUACCGCGUGGGUGAAGAAGGCCUUCGGGUUGUAAAGCCCUUUUGUUGGGAAAGAAAAGCAGCAGGUUAAUACCCCGCUGUUCUGACGGUACCCAAAGAAUAAGCACCGGCUAACUUCGUG